GUACGGGAGAAGCUAACAUAACAGCAUAUAUUAAAUCAUAUACAUAACUUGUACUUGUACAAGUGCGUAGUGAGUGCCGAUACCGGUUUCUUAUGAUCUCUACGCGUCUUCACCACAAAAUCGUAUUACUUAGUGUAAAGCAGAAAGAAAACGUUAAAAGUUUUGUGUUGCCUCAUCUUUUAUUUCUGUCUGGAUUUUCUUUGCAUAGAAUAAAGAAACAGUAAAAAGAUUACUCUCCUCUCGAUAGAGGUAAAAAGUGUAAAUAUACAGCAGAAAGGAAAAGUAAUUGUGCUGCCUCAUCUUUGAUUCCUGUCCCUUUGGAUUUACUUUGCGUAGCAUUUAGAAACAGAACAUAGAGAGAUUACUCUCCUCUCGACACAGCUAAAAAGCAUAAAGUAAGUAUGAUACUUACUACU